CGUUGCGGAGCAAGAAAUGUAGUCCAAGUAGUCCAGGCUCAGGGCUUCCCUUGACUACUUUACUGAUAAUCGUUAGUAACGGCAUUAUUCCAGCCGUCAUCACACUGGAUCCUUUCAAGGAGGCAAGGGUCCGAUUAUUACUCCCGUUCAACAGGUGACACAGAUGAAAAGUGAACCUGGGGACACAUGCAGAAACCUGGUCUCAUCAGAGGUGAGCAAGAGCCAGAGAAACAAUGGAAGCCCAGCUUCAUUUUGCAACUGAAGAUCCACCUGGCCUUGCUUGGUGCCUUGCUCCCUACCCCAGGCCUCUCUGUCCGCUGUGCUGAAUCUUAGUCACCAUAUAUGAGAUCUUCUUUUCUGUGGCAUGUGGGAUCUAGUUCCCUGACCAGGAAUCAAACCCAGAAAGGACCCCCUACAUUGGGACUGUGGAGUCUUCACCAAUGGACCACAAGGCAAGUCCCAGCAAUUUGUAUUUUAACGAGCUUGUUAGGUGAUUCUGAUGCCCACUGAUGUGUAAGAACCAAUGAUUUAAAUUAACUUGAGCCCCAGACGUAGGUUAUUUGCUGCUCACAGUCUCCAUUACAGUGGUUCUUAACCUUGAAUACAUAUUGGAAUCACUUUAAAAAAAAAUGCUUAUGUCUCCUUCCCACAGCCAGGUAUUCUGAUAUAAUGGGCCUGGACUAGACCUGCUCAAGAAGAUUUUGAAAAGGCCCAGCUUAUUCACAUGUACAUUUAAGUUGGAGUUCUAGCUGCAAGGGAUACCAGAGGCUAAUGCUGGGGUCUACGUGUAAAAGUGAUGUUUGUCAGACCAGGGCUGUGGCCAUGGCGAUGGAUACUUACAAGAUCGACUAGAGACAAGAGGGAAGGGGGCAGGGCACAGCCAUUAAAAAGAUGGCAUAGCCACUGAGGAUACAACAAAAACUGGUUAGAACCAACUAGACUCGAGAUGGCAGAAGAUUUAACUAACUUCCAGUGGACCUGGAGCCUCACAAUACAGCUCGCUCAUUGAGAUAGGUUCGCAUAUGCUACAUGACAGACUCACCCAAACCACGAAGUGGGCGGGUAGUCCAAUUUCUGGAAAUCUCCACCCCUUCCCCCGAAACAGUUGGAGUAACCCUCCCACUUGUUAGCCUGUGGAAUUACCCAGCCCAUAAAAACGAACCCCCCAGAUUCCGGGGAGCUCUCAUUUUCCCACUUGACCCCUGCCCUGAGGCGGCUCUCACCUUCUGAGACAGACCAGGCUCCUGCUGGCUCGUGCUGUCUAGGGAAUGUGCGCAUGGGUGCGUGCUCAGCUGCUGAGUCGUGUCCAGCUCUAUCCGGUGGACUGUAGCCCACCAGGCUUCUCUGUCCG